rnacentral:rRNA from 1 species
UACAGAGGGUGCAAGCGUUGUUCGGAAUUAUUGGGCGUAAAGGGCGCGUAGGCGGUGCUGUAAGUCUGUGGUGAAAUCUCUGGGCUCAACUCAGAGUCUGCCAUAGAAACUGCAGUGCUGGAGUGUGGGAGAGGUGAGUGGAAUUCCCGGUGUAGCGGUGAAAUGCGUAGAUAUCUGGAGGAACACCGGUGGCGAAGGCGGCAUUCUGGACCGGCAUUGACGCUGAUGCGCGAAAGCCAGGGGAGCAAACGAG